rnacentral:rRNA from 1 species
GAUGAACGCUGGCGGCGUGCCUAAUACAUGCAAGUCGAGCGAACAGACGAGGAGCUUGCUCCUUUGACGUUAGCGGCGGACGGGUGAGUAACACGUAGGUAACCUACCUAUAAGACUGGGAUAACUUCGGGAAACCGGAGCUAAUACCGGAUAAUAUUUCGAACCGCAUGGUUCGAUAGUGAAAGAUGGCUUUGCUAUCACUUAUAGAUGGACCUGCGCCGUAUUAGCCAGUUGGUAAGGUAACGGCUUACCAAGGCAACGAUACGUAGCCGACCUGAGAGGGUGAUCGGCCACACUGGAACUGAGACACGGUCCAGACUCCUACGGGAGGCAGCAGUAGGGAAUCUUCCGCAAAGGGCGAAAGCCUGACGGAGCAACGCCGCGUGAGUGAUGAAGGUCUUCGGAUCGUAAAACUCUGUUAUUAGGGAAGAACAAACGUGUAAGUAACUGUGCACGUCUUGACGGUACCUAAUCAGAAAGCCACGGCUAACUACGUG